rnacentral:rRNA from 1 species
GGGCCCGCACAAGCGGUGGAGCAUGUGGUUCAAUUCGACGCAACGCGAAGAACCUUACCUGGGCUCGAAAUGCUAUGGACAGUCUGUGAAAGCAGAUCUUCUCGCAAGAGACCGUAGUAUAGGUGCUGCAUGGCUGUCGUCAGCUCGUGUCGUGAGAUGUUGGGUUAAGUCCCGCAACGAGCGCAACCCUUGUCCUGUGUUGCCACUCCCGUAAGGGAAGCACUCUCAGGAGACCGCCAGCGAUAAGUUGGAGGAAGGUGGGGAUGAUGUCAAGUCAUCAUGGCCUUUAUGUCCAGGGCUACACACGUGCUACAAUGGACGGUACAAAGCGCUGCAAACCCGCGAGGGGGAGCCAAUCGCAAAAAACCGUUCUCAGUUCGGAUCGCAGGCUGCAACUCGCCUGCGUGAAGCUGGAAUCGCUAGUAAUGGCGUAUCAGAACGAUGCCGUGAAUACGUUCCCGGGCCUU